AUGUGGGUGAUGAUCCUCGACAGUAAGGGAGAAGCAGCGGACGCCAUCAGGCGCGCGCAGGUUGGUGUGGAGGCGGAGAGCGGCCGCAAAUUGCGCGUGUUGCACACUUACAACGGCGGCGAAUUCACGGCGGCUGAAUUCGCGUCGUACUGCGCCAAUGAGGGCAUCCAGCGCCACUACUCCGCGUCGUACAGCCCGCAACAAAACGGCGUCGUCGAGCGGCGCAACCAGACGGUUGUGGGGAUGACUCGGGCUCUCCUCAAACAGAGAGGGAUGCCGGCUGUCUUCUGGGGAGAGGCGGUGCUAACGGCCGUCUACAUCCUCAACCGCUCUCCUACUAAGGCACUCGACGGCAGAACUCCGUACGAGGCCUGGCAUGGGCGGAAGCCGGCGGUCUCUCAUUUGCGGGUCUUUGGCUGCCUUGCGUUCGCCAAGGAGCUCGGCCACAUCGGCAAGCUCGACGACAGGAGCACUCCGGGAGUCUUCAUCGGCUACGCGGAGGGCUCAAAGGCCUACCGCAUCCUCGACCCAAAGACACAACGUGUGCGCACAGCGCGAGACGUCGUGUUCAACGAAGGGCGAGGGUGGCAAUGGGACAAGGCGGUGGACGACGGCUCGACGCCGACGUAUGACGACUUCAUUGUCGAGUACGCCCACUUCAAGGAAGCUGGGGAAGCAAGCAGCUCCUCUUCACCGGGCACGUUUACCCCGGCCCCCCAAAACUACAUCGACUCCGGCGCCUACUACGCCGACGACACGACAACCGGCGACGCCGCAUACUCCAGCCCCGGUGGUCGCCACUCCGGGCUCAUCUUCAUCAGCACCAGCUCACGCAGAGCACAACCCGAUGAAGUUCGCUUCCCCGCUCACUCACGACGAGGAGCGUAUCGACGCGUGGCAUGA
rnacentral:rRNA from 1 species